CACACACACAACACAUUUUCUAGGGCACACAGAGAGGGUGGAGUGAAGGAGGCGAUUUGGAGACCCUCAACAGCGAAGACAUCUGACGAAGCUUGCCACAGUCGAUCAGCACCGGAGUACACAUCUGCGGCGUCGAAAAAGACUCGCGAAGCUUGCCAAAAUCGAACGCUUGGGGCAUACAUCUGCGGCGUCGGACAACAACUCGUCGUCUGAAACACCACCGAUCUUCAGUUAGCUACGUCGUUGUUGGUAAUGGCUUCCAUACGUACUUCUCCGCGUACCUAAUCCAAAAACAAAGGCAUUGUUCCAGAGAAGUCAAGCAGUCUUGAAGAGACACAGAAUUAGUUCAGCCACAAGGCCUCAUGGGAUAGUGACUCCAUCCGAAUUUUCCUCUAGUUGAUUGCAAAUGAAAUUACAAAAGGAAAUCGGCCAUUCCUAGUCCUCAGCCAAGCAGGGUACAAGUCGUUGGCAAGGAAAUUUGAGAAAAAAACAGGAAGAAAACAUGGUCUCAAACAGUUGAAGAAUAAAUACAUGAAUCUGAAAAAAGAGUGGCAAACGUGGACAAAGUUGAUGGAUUCAAGAAAAUGAGUGUUAGGGACAGGGUUUGACAGCAAAAUUGGUAUGUUUCAGGCAUCUGAGGAGUGGUGGGACAAGAUGGAAUCGAUAAACAAGGUGUGUGCCAAGUUCAGGAAAAAAACUUUGGAACAUCGUGACUUGAUGGAGAUGGUCUUUACCGGGGCAUCAGCUACUGGUAAGCACCAUUGGACCCCGGGAGAGAAACUUCUUGAAGCUACUGAUGACUCAUCUGAUUCUGUGCACAGUUUGGGAGCGCAGCCAUUUGCUGAUCCGAUAUUCGCAUGAGUACAGGACGUGGAUUCAAAUUCUUCACUCGAACCUGUUCCGACUGAAAA